rnacentral:rRNA from 1 species
AGUGAACGCUGGCGGUAGGCCUAACACAUGCAAGUCGAACGGCAGCACAGUAAGAGCUUGCUCUUACGGGUGGCGAGUGGCGGACGGGUGAGGAAUACAUCGGAACCUACUUUUUCGUGGGGGAUAACGUAGGGAAACUUACGCUAAUACCGCAUACGACCUACGGGUGAAAGCAGGGGAUCUUCGGACCUUGCGCGAUUGAAUGGGCCGAUGUCGGAUUAGCUAGUUGGCGGGGUAAAGGCCCACCAAGGCGACGAUCCGUAGCUGGUCUGAGAGGAUGAUCAGCCACACUGGAACUGAGACACGGUCCAGACUCCUACGGGAGGCAGCAGUGGGGAAUAUUGGACAAUGGGCGCAAGCCUGAUCCAGCCAUACCGCGUGGGUGAAGAAGGCCUUCGGGUUGUAAAGCCCUUUUGUUGGGAAAGAAAAGCAGCAGGUUAAUACCCCGCUGUUCUGACGGUACCCAAAGAAUAAGCACCGGCUAACUUCGUG